CAUGAAUCUGAAGGAAUGUCUUGGAAUAGCCAAUCAAAUUAAAGAUCUACUCAUAUUUUUUAGGUCGAACAAGAUUUCAUUCAAUUUGGAUGGAGUAAGAGAAAGUUUUGCUUCAUUCCAUUGUCAAGUUACUACUCUAAACCUAUCUGUAGGCAUGCCAUUGUCAGAUUACAGAGUUUUGUUAGAUGGCCUUCUUUGGAGUUGUUGUCCGAGGACUUUGCAUGUGAAUGCAAUCGAGGAAAAUGAACACAAAUUCCUUCAGUGGCUAUAUGAGGAACUGAGGAAUAGAUGUGUAAAUUGCUGCAAUUCUCAUAAUAUCAAGUGUUGGCGACAUUACCUGAAAGAUGUAAAGAUUCUGAGCACCUUACAAAUGGAAGAUUGGAGGAGGAAAAAUUGGAAGCUACUUAAUAGAGAUGAUGAUGAUUUACGCGAUGUUUGGGCUAUCGAUCAACAUGUAACUAUGUGCUUUGAUCUUGAUUGGGUUCAAUAAACAAGCUUAAGUGUUAUGUGAGGAGUAUCCUUUGUCGAAAAGGGUAUUUGGUCAUUUCGCCACCUUUUGAUUCAUAUGGUGUCUGCUUUAUUGUUGAAACAAACUUAGAAGGCAAACUACUACGUUUAAGGAAUUUUAUUAUGUAACAUUGAAUUUUAUAAUAUAACAUUAACAUGACAUGUG